CGUAGGUCCCCUGCGAAUACGGAUCUGGUGAACGGGAGCCGUCUACACCGCGAUAGACUCGUGGCUUAUCGUCUCUCUCGUCCCGUCGGCCAUGGUACUUUUCCUCUUUCCUCACAAAAGUCUUCCCCAUCUCCACCUUCCUCCGGUGAUCUCUUGCCCAGCCUCGGCCGAGAUGGUGCCCUAAAGGCGUAUGCAUGGCCAUGUGACAAGGCGGUGGCCGUGAGGGAGCCGAGGCGCAGGCCCUACAUGUGCCCAUGGGACUACGGUGCACAUGCCAGGAGGCUGAUUCCUUAGGAGUCCAUGGCAUGAACCUUUGGUUUAUGCUUCAAGAUCCAAAGCAAUCAUGACGUCGGUAUGAACAUAAAUCGCCCAACUUAAAUGAGAUCCGGCAAGGCUUCAAUUAAUUGGCCUGACAGAGGCAGAACUCCGAGUCAAUGAAUUAGGAUUUGCAUGGUGCAUGGUGCUUCUGUUUUCCUCUCUAAUUUUUAUUGGACAUAUAUGUUCUUUGUCUUCUGUCCUUGUGUAUGCCUUGAGUUAAUUGUUCUUUUCCUGGUUUGAAAUAACUAUUGUUCCUGAUGAACUCCGCCGAGCUCUUGUGCAUGCAUGAAGGCGAUGUGGCCGUGAUGAUGUCUGAAGCACUAGCUUGCAUGUACAUAUGCCUCUCGGAAAUCGGAAUUCCUCUCCUCUUCUGAAAGUCCUGCAGAUCUCCGGCGAGCUCUUGCUCAGCCAUGGCCCAGGCGACCGGGAUGGAAUCCACGGCAUAUGCUUCUUCAUGUGACAUGGAGAACGAGAAGGUGUGCUGGACUAUAUAUGUUGUCCUCUGCACCUCCUUUCUUCCGGCGAGCACUGUUCAUGCCCGGCGGGCCGGCUGAGUGGGUGCCCGAGGCAUAGGCCCGUGCAUGUGCCUCUGAGACCACGGCGGGUUCGAGAUGAUUCAACUAUCUUUCUCAUAUCUAACGGAAACUUACGGCUUCAAGAGGCCAGACAGAUGCACAACUCUAGUCGGUGGAUUAGAAGAAGGUGCAAGAUUGUUCUGGUUCAAGAUCUUUGCGUUGUCAAGCCAACUCAGGGAUCUAAGUCUGUUGGCAAAAUGGCAAAUACUCCACUGCUUCCGCUUCCGGAAGCCUGACCGAUGAACAACUAGAUGCUGAGCUAAUAGAUAUGAACCGUGUCAAGGCCACCUGGUGCGUGACCAUGGAUUGAUUGAAGACACGCGUAUCAAGGGGUUAAAGAAACUUCUACAUGGCAUAAACAUACGGAACAAGGUCGCUACUCUCCUGGUAUGAUUUGCCUCGGUCGCUUUGGUCCGGUAAUAGCCAAGAAGUGGCCUCCUUGUUGAUGGCAUCUAGGAGACUAGGAGGAUGUUCGGCGCCGCGUACUUGGGGUGGAAGUUUUGACGGACAUAUUGAGCCACCACUCCUUGACGGAAUGCUUGUCAUUCCAAGAGGAAAUGUCAAAACUCUCGAGCACAAUCCCCAAAGCCUUGGUGAACCGGCACUUGUAAAAAAGGUAGUUCUGGUUGCCAAUUCAGUGCCAACUUUGAAGUUGCAACUUAAGCUCCAAAGGGCGGCUUUAUAGUCGAUCUAUAUGGCAUUAUUGCUAGAUCCAGUGUCAGACACCUACCUCAAUUUUAAGUGAAAGGCUGCGGGAGUUACUAUUGCUAACUGGGCGGCUGUAGAACCGACGAAAGAAGCUAUGAAGUAUGCAGUUGCUUACCAGCCUGUUGUGGCAUCUAUCUACACUAACAGCAAAUUUAGGAGAUACAGCAAGGGUUUUCUUGAAGUUCCUCGCAAUCCUGGUCCAGUUAACCACUCUGUGCUUCUACUCGGAUAUGGUGAGUGUCCACUACAGGGCGAAUGCUGGAUCGGCAUAAGUUCGUACCGAAACCGAAGGCGAUGGGGCAUAACAUGGCGGGGCCAGUACCGUAACAUCUUCUUUCUACCGAGGAACACGUGUCAUGUGGAGGGGGCUCUCAGAGUCCUAACCAAUGUUGUUCUUCCCCUGGGAGCUUCUAUGGUUCCUAAGGUUAAAACUCGAAGUGAGAGCUGCCCUGCCUGUUUCAAGUAGGUGGGCUUACGAUGGACUACUAAUGCUGCUGGUGGCUCGUCACACUCCAGUGUUUCUAUUGGUUUGAGUUCUGUUUGGAAUCUGUGCUACCUGCUUCAAUUGGCUCGAGCUCUUUUUGCUGAUUUGUGAUAUGAUGUUUUUGUUUGGAGUCUGAGCUACCAGUUCAAUUGGCUCCGUGCUCUUUUUGAUCAACUUAUGAUCCGAUGCUGCACUUAGACCAUCGUGUCUCAAGUCAUGUAUUACCUCCGUCCCAAAUUACUACUCUUUGACACUACACCAGUGUCAAAAAGGGUCUUACAUUAUGGGACGGUCGAAGUAGAUUUUAUUGUUAUUAGAUACAACCAUAUCUACACAAAUAUGGGAGACGUAAAUUGGGACGGAAAGAGUAUAACAAGAUGAUGUUGAGUAGGUACCAACAACUUGGAUCAGCAAUUUAUAGAAGCGAAGUACCUUUCACUUAAAA